rnacentral:misc_RNA from 1 species
UUGACAACAACCAAACAAGGAUAAUACCCCAAAAUACGAUUCCUAUAUUUUUGAAAUGCAAAAUGAUCCCUAGGAACUGAAAGUAAAAGAACAAAAAAACAACAGACCAUAGCCUUAUUUUAAUUAUUAAACAUAACAAUUAAAUGACAACAUUAUCUUUAUGCUGAGGACUCCACCAAUACUUGUGCUUUUCCGUUGCUGCUUGGCUUGUCCACCAAAUCUUCAAGCUCAUUGAUCUGGCUGCUGCUUGACUUGCUAGUGAUCUCAACACUUCUCUUCCUCACCUCGUCCACAAAAGCUUGUAUAUUCCUGUCGGAUGAACCACCUUCAGCCACCGCAGCAUCCGCUGCCUCCUUCCAUUCCAAUGCAUUUUGCUUCAUCUGUGCCGCCUUAGGCCCUACGGUUGCCUCAAGCAAGCAUUUCUCAACCUCAUCUCUUGUGAUCAACUUGUUUUCAGCCUCUCCACGGCA